UGGGGAAUAUUGGACAAUGGGCGCAAGCCUGAUCCAGCAAUGCCGCGUGUGUGAAGAAGGCCUUCGGGUUGUAAAGCACUUUUAUCGGGAGCGAAAUUUUGUGGGUUAAUACCUUGCAAAUCUGACGGUACCCGAGGAAUCAGCACCGGCUAACUUCGUGCCAGCAGCCGCGGUAAUACGAAGGGUGCAAGCGUUAAUCGGAAUUACUGGGCGUAAAGGGUGCGUAGGCGGUUGACUAAGUCUGCUGUGAAAUCCCCGGGCUCAACCUGGGAAUGGCAGUGGAAACUGGUGAGCUAGAGUGCGAGAGAGGAUGGUGGAAUUCCCGGUGUAGCGGUGAAAUGCGUAGAGAUCGGGAGGAACACCAGUGGCGAAGGCGGCCAUCUGGCUCGACACUGACGCU
rnacentral:rRNA from 1 species